rnacentral:rRNA from 1 species
AACCAACAGGGAUUGCCCUAGUAACGGCGAGUGAAGCGGCAACAGCUCAAAUUUGAAAUCUGGCCCCCGGGUCCGAGUUGUAAUUUGUAGAGGAUGCUUUUGGCGAGGUGCCUUCCGAGUUCCCUGGAACGGGACGCCAUAGAGGGUGAGAGCCCCGUCUGGUCGGACACCGAGCCUCUGUAAAGCUCCUUCGACGAGUCGAGUAGUUUGGGAAUGCUGCUCAAAAUGGGAGGUAUAUGUCUUCUAAAGCUAAAUAUUGGCCAGAGACCGAUAGCGCACAAGUAGAGUGAUCGAAAGAUGAAAAGCACUUUGAAAAGAGGGUUAAAAAGUACGUGAAAUUGUUGAAAGGGAAGCGCCUAUGACCAGACUUGGGCCCGGUGAAUCACCCAGCGUUCUCGCUGGUGCACUUCGCCGGGCACAGGCCAGCAUCAGUUUGGCGCGGGGGAGAAAGGCUUCGGGAAUGUGGCUCCCCUGGGAGUGUUAUAGCCCGUUGCGCAAUACCCUGCGCUGGACUGAGGUACGCGCAUUCGCAAGGAUGCUGGCGUAAUGGUCAUCAGCGACCCGUCUUGAAACACGGACCAAGGAGUCGUCUUCGUAUGCGAGUGUUCGGGUGUCAAACCCCUACGCGUAAUGAAAGUGAACGCAGGUGAGAGCUUCGGCGCAUCAUCGACCGAUCCUGAUGUUCUCGGAUGGAUUUGAGUAAGAGCAUACGGGGCCGGACCCGAAAGAAGGUGAACUAUGCCUGUAUAGGGUGAAGCCAGAGGAAACUCUGGUGGAGGCUCGCAGCGGUUCUGACGUGCGAAUCGAUCGUCAAAUAUGGGCAUGGGGGCGAAAGACUAAUCGAAC